CAGCAGAUUCUCACCACAGUGGCACUCAGGUUGGGCUGUGUUUCCAAUUUCCCCCAGUCUCAGCUGUUACAAAUUUACCCAGAGUGGUCGCCCCAUGCAGCCCACUACCCCUACCACUGUCGUGAGUCGCCUGUAGCCGAGGGACUUGGAGCUGGGGCACCAGGCAGUGUGGUGAAGCAGCAGCAGCCCCCAGGCUGAUGAUGUGUGGGACGUGCAGGCAGCUCGUGUGAUCCUCGAGCACCUUCAUUUCCAGAAGCAGCCGGUCAGUGGCUUUCUCCUUAGAUAAAGAAUUUUUCAUACCCUGCCCUGUGAGCAGCUCGUUUGCUGCGAGGAUGACUGUAGCUGCAGUUACGUUGGCUGCGAAAUUCCCAAGAUUCCCAUCAGCAGCCUCGUUUAAACAUCCCCCAGCCCUGCUAUAAACAAGCGAGAGACGCUCUCCCUGCACCCUGGCCGAGAGCCAAGGGCAUCGGGCGCUCCAGCUGGAGACAGGAGGGGAGUGCAGAGAAGAGUGUCAAGUCAUGAAUCACCGCAGCGAGGACCGACAGCCACCGUCAACAAAACCAGGCGAACCCGGGGCUGGCUGCUUAAUUAAGUGGUUUAUUUCUCAUCAAAGUGACAAGGUGCAGGCGAGCCGGAGAGGCAGCAAAGUGCUGCUGGUGAGCAGCUGCCUUUGCUCCGUGCACGUGGGGUGCCUCCUCACCGUGUUCUUCGGCAGCCAGAUACCAGCAGGGCUGGGGAUGGAGUUUACGGGCCCCUGGGCUGCUCCUGGCUGGUUUCCUAAGGUGACAGAGCCUACGUAGUUGUGCUGUUUACCUUGGGGCCCUCCUGGCAACUUCUGAGCGUAUAGGACAGCUUCAAGCAGAUUGGAGAAAAGAUUAGGAAUUUCCAAGAUUGUUACGGAUCUACCCAUUUUGUGAUGCUCUGCGGGUGGAAGGAGAAUGGGCCCAGGUCAGUGCCUUGCCAGAGGCAGGGAGGGUGCAGCCGAUACGGGGCUCAUCUGGUGGCUGUGCCCUGUGUGUGCAGGGUGCACAUGGUGCGACAGCCUGCACACGCAUACACCAGGACUGGCCAGAGCAGGGAGGGAAAGGAAAAAUGGGGAAGGGAAAACUGGGAUUAAUGCAGUGCAGGAGAGGCAUGCAGGGGCACAGCAGACAAAUGCAGAACAGGCUCACUGGCUAUUUUUAUCUGUUCCAGGAUCCUUAGCCGUGCCAGGUUGCUAAAUUCUGUAAAGAAAUCUGUAUGGCCUGUGCUCACCAGCAGAGGCUUAGAAACACCUCAGUAGCUCCCUGUUCGAGGUGUGAGACUCGCGUGGCUGGCUGCAUCCUGAGUGACUUUGUUAAAGGGCUGGAAGCUUGAAAACAGUGCCUCCAUCCUGAGGAGCUUUGGGGGAUUUAGGCACAGCCCAGCAGCUCUUGGCAGGUUUCUAGGGUGGCAUCGCUUCUUUGCUCGGAAACUUCUCAGUGCCUGGCCUAAAUAUGCUGUCACCCCUCACGUGUAUGGGAUAACAAAGGCUGGGGGGAUGCUCCAUGGCAAGUGAAGCUGCAGUGAAGUUUUCCCUGGGUUCUGCCUAUGCAGAAAGUUCACAGCACCACAGUAUAAUUUCUUGGCACAAAUGGCCUCGGACCCAAGCAGAAGCCGUGUUUUUUGCCUUAUGGUACAUCUUACCACAUUACUUUGGAAGGGCUGCAGCUCUGUUUUGCAAGGUGAUCUCCCGCAGCACAGCCGCUGCCAGGAGAUGCUCAUGAUUAACUGCACGCCCUGGGGCCUCCUCCUUCAUCCCUGCCUCUCUGCAGUGCUUCCCACCUGGGCUGAUCUGAUGGGUUGUCUGUGUCCCGUGACUCUGGGGUCACCUUGAGCAGAAAUCCUGUGCUUUUUUCCUGAACAGGGAGUGCACGGCCUGGUGUGUGUGACUGGCUCCCUCCUGGUUGCUGUGCCCCCUGCUCCUGCGAGGUUAUGCGAGGAAAGAUGAAACUUUCUUGCCAGAGGCAGGGGAGCGAAUGCAGUCUCCAGCAAACCUGGAACAAGGAGCAGCUUGGAGAAGGUGUGCUUCCAGGCCAUGUGCCAGCGCUGAACCAGCACCAAGAAACUGCGGCAGGUUUACAGAAAUGCCACAGGCGAAACGAGAGCUCUGGUAAUUCACAGGCUCCCCGGGUCUGACAGGCAACCAUCCAGCCUCACCUCUUGUAUAAGACUGGCCCCUUCAUUUCGUGUAGUUACCCCUGUCCCACACCCAAUAAUAUGUGCUUGCCAGCGGUGCUUUUGGGAAGUCAAACAGCCCUGGUGCAGAACCGACUGGCGACAGGGAAUCUACCACUUCCACUGGCUGUGCAGCCACGCUCCACAAAACAGCAUUUUAUUUCUAAUCAGGAAUUGCCCGGUUAUGGCAUCCGGCUGUGGUCACCAUUCUUCCUUUCUUCAGGAGAUGAAAGGCUUUCUGAGUGCCUCGUGUUUGCUCCGUGGGACUGCAGGGGCAUAAAGGCACUUUCUUCUGCCUGAGAGGCCAAGCAGGUUGAACUUCCUACGGGGCAGAUGGAGCAGCUGGCAGUCUUUGGGGUCUCUCUCCCCACUCCUUUCCCCAGUGCUCAGCAACCCUUUUAGUCAAGUAUCUGCCACGUAUCUUGCCCCUACCCACCAUGUCCUCCUUGAGUGCCCACUGUAAGGCUGGAUUUUAACCCACAUUCCUGAAGGGAAGUGCUCGGAGCCACUCUAUGUGAUGCAAGGUGCACGUUGAGGGCCAAAAGGGAUUAAUCACGACAGGGAAAUGGGCUCUGUCACCUACACAGAGUGGGAGAGAAAGAAAACACUCUCUAGUGGGGAGAAAGGGAAGAGAGGCCCUUGCAGUGGCCCUGCCAGUACCAAAAUAAAUCUCAAAGAGGGGAAACAACAGCAGCGGAGAGCUACCAGCACAAAGGCACAGCAGAGGAGCAGAUCUCUGCCUGACUAAAGGCUGCCAGCUCUGGACCUUGGUGGUUAGUUUGCUUUGGUGAGCCCAGUAACCACCGGUAUGUGCGCGUCCUUCUCACCAGUGGGCCGCUCGCUACACGGGCCAAGCGGCGACACUGAGGGCAGCAGCCUAAAAGGAAUGAAGUUGGAUCAAAUGCUGGAUUUGAACCAAGCCCGUUCUGUUUUGGAGCAACUAAACCCUCCGGUGGGCUGGAAAAAGCUCUGGGGAACCUCGACCAAGGUUGCUAGAGAGCAGAGUCGCUGAGAGUUUCCAUCCAAAAAGGAUCCAGGCAACAUCUCCUUACAGUAAACAGCAGAAAGCCUUGCAGCUCCGUGAUCUUUAAGCACAAGGGGGAGUGGAUGAGGCUGAUGGGAGCAGGCUGAGAGCCCUGGGAGGUUUUAUCCUGACAGAGCACAUCUGUGGCGGAGAGCUGCCAGCCUGCUGCGAGAAGCCACGGGGGGACAUCUCCGCUCGGAGCACAUGCCGCCUGCCUCUCCGGGGGCUCCUCACACCUUCCUGGACAGGACCGCAGGCAGGGGGGCAGCUCAAACCAUCGGCGGCAUUAACAGCGAAUCUGACAUCUGGGCUGGCCAGUGGAGCAGCCCAGGCAUUUGGUUUGUUUAUUUUCCUUAGGCCUUUGGCGCUUUUGCUCUUCACAGAAGAAGGCCCGAGCGCGUUGCUAACACACCGCUCGGGGUAAGCACUAAACGAAACUCCCACUGUUUGCAGGAACCGAGCUCAGGCAUUUCUUAAACAACUGCUUCAUUGUGAUUCUUGGACAAAUUGAAACGAAAAUUUCUUCCCCGCAGCACUGUUUUUUGUCUGUUUUGCUGAUAGGCCAUGCUGUAGCUGCAAAUCUCCAACGUAUUGAAGUACGCUGCUUCUGCUCUCACUCGGCCUAACGUGACACUCCAGAGUAAUUUCAUUACCAUCAGCAGAGAUACUUCCUCUGUCCACUGGCACGGAGCUGGUUUGGACGUGAGCCCCACCAUACAGAGAGCAGAGCUUCACCUCUCCCCCGCUGCAGCUCGCAGCAGAGGUGAACUUGCAGGAAUGCAGAACACGAGCGCAAGACUUCUGGGGCCUGGAGAGCAGCUGGCCUUCCUCUGGCAUGCGAGUGGCUUCUUCAAGACCAAGUUCUCAUCUUGGUGCUGCUGAUUUCCCCAGUGCAUCAUCUACAGCACCAUGGAAAUACACCUUUGCUUGGAGAAGCUCUUCAGAGGCAUUGCUCUUCUUUUUUCCUCUCUUCUAUUCCAGAUCCUCUCGUUGGCAUCCCAAUACCUAGCACCAUGAGCCACGUGCUCUUUCAGCCUUAAAAACAAGGUGACUUGGAGCGUUAGGCUCUUUGGAGGAGCCAGGGCCUAUUUUUAGCUGAGCAGUUGAGGAGGUGUAGGUACAGUGUCUGGGGAUGGUGUCUGAGCAGCCCGUGGCUGCCGCGAUGCUGAGCAGAGCUCGGAGUCUGGCAGGGGGAGGUUCGCUGGUCCCUCGGGGGUGUUGCAGGGAGGGGGCUGGAGUGGGUGUAGCUGGUGAUAUGCACAGGCAGCCAAAACCUGGUGUUGUAAUGUCUGAGACGGUCUGAGUUUGGAAAAGGCCCCGAUGAUAUCACCCUGCAGAACUGUUAGCGGCAGAGUGCAGGAAAGGAAACGUUCACAAGUCCUUUCCAAAUCUGUAAGGAGAGGAAUUAACGCUCCUUCUUCCCAUACAUACCACACUGCUUGGAAAUGGCCUUCAUUCAUGACCAGGCAUCAAAAGAGACGUCUCUUUCUCUUUUCUCCUUGCUGCUGCCAUCUCUCUGCCACAUGUGGCAGGGAGUGCUGAGGAUGGAGGGUGUGAGAGCAACGCCUCUUCUGUACUGUCUCCCUGCACGCUGAACUCUGCAUAGCGUCCUGCACUUCUGCUUAAUCCACUCAUAGAAGAGGUAAAUGAGCAGUGGAGCUUUCCUUGCUGCCACAGAGGUGAAGUUCUGCAGGAACAUCACCGAGAGGUGAAUUCUGCAGGAGCCCUCCCGUGCUACCUCUCUGCAGUUCGCUGUGUCCCCUGUGGUCCUGCAGAGCCCCUGGCUGCUGUCUGAGCCAGGUACAAGUCCUGCACCAAGCCCUGCUUGACUGCGAGGCUUCCCCUGAACGUUUUGUCUGCACAGCACAGCCCUCCCACUUCAGAAAGUCUCUCUUUCUGGAGGUGGGGAGUGAAACCACGCAGGGAAUGCUUAGCUGCUCUCAAAUCUGCUUUUUUAGCGUGACCCACCCGCUCACAGGAUCAAGGGAGGGUGGGAAGGAGGAGCUUGAGGCUGGAGCCAGUUCAUGUGAAUCAAGCGAGCGAUGUCCUGCAUAGCCCAGGGAGCGUGAAGGAUGAUGUCAAGCAGAGACUGCCUCAACGAGCAAUUAUCUCUGUGGCUGCUCUCAAACCAAAAUGAGGAGAACGUCUGUGAGAUAUUUCCCUCUAUCGUUUUGUGCAGCAAGACCUGCAGGCUAACGGGGCUGUUGUGUCACGCUGAGAGAAGUGAAAGCAGGGCCUGGUAAGCUGCUUUGGCAGGCAGAGCUUUCUCUUUUAGCCACUUGCCCGUGGCCAGUGCACAUUCUUCUUGCUUUUCUUCCUCUCCAGUGUGGUAACGUGGGCUUCUCAGUAGCACGGGCUGCUCUUCCCCUGCCACCUGUGGUGGAUGGGAUCAGUGUGGGGCUCCUGCCGUCCUGCUCACGAAGAGCCAACUUCACGUGCAAUUUAAGCAAAGGGUAAGGCAGAUAACAACCCUUCCCUGCGGCUGUCAUAAAGUCUAAUGUCCCGGACUCACCUACUCCAGCAGGGACACUUGUUGGCAGACUGGCUGAGCAGGGCUGUCAUGACUCGUUUAAGCUUGCGAGCAUCAGUUUGGUAGCAAGCAAAGUGCUACUCCUAAGGAACCAGAAAGCUAAGAGGAAGAACUGAUUUCCCUGCAUCUUCUGCUGCUUUCUGGAGUGCAGCCCAGAGGACGGCAGCGGGGAGCAAGCUAGGGAGGGAGUCUUUGUCGUGUGAUGGCUGCAGGAUAGACCUGUGCAAUUUUCCUCUCCAAGGAGGAGAGCGAGAGCCUUCCUCCAAACAGCUCCCCAAACGUUGUGAGCUGAAUUUGAGGUAGUUGGAGCUGUUGACAGACUGGGAAGAUAGAUGGAGCAUAAUGCUAGCCAGUUUAGCCAAAAGAUGACUAAGGUGGGGGAAGGAUUGUUGACUCCAAACAUCUGUGAGGAGAUGGAGAUUGCAUUAACAAAGGAGAAAAUUUAGACAGGAAAGUGCUUCCUAGAAGCGAGCUGUGUCUCCCCAGGGAGGGGGUGGGGGUCCCAUAGCUGGCAGGAUGGGAACGGCCAUAAGUAAUGACAAAUCUAAUUCCUUGCCAUGUAAUGGUAACAAAUAAUGCAGAAUGAGUCUUGAUAAAGAGCUAGAUGCAACCUGGUAAUAACCAAAUGCAGGGGCUGAUGCUGGCAGCGUGUGCCUGGCAGUUCUGAUGACUGCCUUGAGCCAUAAAGCUUGUAUUUAAGCUUUUCUUCACUCAGUGCUUUGGAUCAGGGGUAAAUGCAAUUCCCAGGCCCCUUCUCUGAGGUUUUUUUUUUAAUUUUAAUUAAUUAAUUAAUUAAUUAAAAGGAGGAGGAGUGUGGUACAGCAACAAUCAGUUUGUGCUUUAUAUGCUGGCAGUGGGAUCCCAGGGACCCCUGCACAGCUUUAUGUCACUCUCAUGCUGUUUGGAGGGAAAAGAUUUCCCAGCAGAGAAAGCAGAAAAGCAAAUUUAUGUUUUGGAGGAGUUGCUCUGUGAUAUGAGCCAGGGGCUGGAGUAGGGACUCGAGUGGACAGUCAGAUCCAGGAGUAUGUGAGAAGCGCUUCCUCUGGGGUGUGGCCAAGACCCUAAAUGCCCUGGCCAAAGGGAGCCCUGAUUGCAAAGCAGGCAGAGCUGUUGGUGAGAUGAGCAGCUGGAUCUGUGGGCCCAAGUGAUCCCCAGACACCAAAUUACAGGGCCAAGAAUGAGGGCUCCCCUGUGGCUAGCUUCCUGGAAAGAGACUAGUAACAACGUCCUAUUUAUACACCAUUCAGAAAGAUGGGGUUAAGGCCAGGGCUCUUCAGUAUUUUGGGGCUUUGGCUUGGUCAGUGAUGAAGCCUUGUUUUAAUUUGGCAACGCUGGAGCAAGGUGGCAGCAUUUUGUCUUCUUUGCAAACCUGAAACCUUGGUUUCGUUUAGCGUGGGCUGCAGUGCCAGUCCUGGAGGGUUAAAAUGUGAAAGGGGAACACCCUCCGCUUGUGCCCUUGACCACUUGGUCUGUUGAUGAUUAUCUCCGAACUGGUAGUCAUAAGAUAAGGGGGAAAAUGUGACUGUGAGGGUGCUGGGAGAGUUGAGGCAGCCCUGCACAUCACCUGCCCCGCCAGUGACAGAGGAAAAGGGUGAGUCAGGGCCUGGGAGGGCAGCGGGGCAGGACGGAGGGGCAGCUGCCCUACAGGCUCCCGCUGGGAGGGCUGAAAUGCUGCCCACAGGGGUCAGCCUCUGCCCCCAGCCAGCUCCGGGAGGGCUGGGGGAGAGGAGUUCCCAGCCCUGCCCUACAGGAGCCCACCUCGUGGAAAUGUCAAACCAAAGGGCACUUGACCACGUAGAAGUGAGGUAUGAGGAAGGCAGGCAAGGAAAGGGGCUGCUGGCUGAAGUCAGUUUGUCCUGGGGCAGGUUUGUCUGAGUACACACUUCAACAGCCAGAUGAGGAAGAUCAUCGUCUACAGGGAUCCUGAAUAAGGGAUUUUUUUAACCCUGGUCACCCUGCCAUCACACAACAACCAGACCCCCAGCACGCUCCUGGUGUGCACUGGUUAAACUGCUGUGCACAGCCCGGGGGAGCUGAGCACGGGGGAGAAAGCAUGAAGAGCUGGUGCUGGGCUGGAUGGGGUGGCCAGGAGGGUUCAGCUCCCCGUGUCCUUUAAAGCUGAAAAGACAGAAGUAGUACCAAGUGCCCUUGGGUUGGUUUCCCUUGGGUGAGGGACCCACAUGGCUCCAUUAGACAGCUCGGUACGUGGAAAUGGGUCACAGACCACAGUAACAAGUGCAAAGAAGGGUGGGUUGACAUGGGACGGGGCCAGCCUGCAGUGGCAGUGUACAUCCAGUGGAAAAUUGGCGGUCAGCUUUCCUCCCAGGUGCUACAGAUGGGCGGAAGAGCCCCAGCCAGCAGCACUCACUCCACGUGCACUGUGAAAGGAGCCACAGCCAGGUGAAAACCAUUGGCAGUGUCCCCUGUCACUUCUUUGUUGCUUGUGGAUGAGCUGGCUGAGAGCUGAGCAGCCGUCCCAACCCAGCGAGCCCCAGCGGUGCUGCAGCACACCUCCCUUUUGUGACAGUCCCUAAACUAAGCAAGUGUGGGUAGCUGCUCAGGAAUGUCCCCCAGUGGGACACCAAACCGACCUCGCCUCCAGAAGAGGAACCACCACGUCCCCACACGUCCACCCUGAUCCUACAGCACCAACCAGCCUGGCUGUGCGGGCCUCUGCCCGGGGCAGGCACAGGGGAAGGGGCGUCCCUCCAGCAUCCCCCUGCUUUGGGGACCCAGUCCCAAAACAUCCAAAGGACGAAGGGGAAGUCCCAUGGGGCCGAGGCUGGGACCGAUCCGAAGCGCAAGCUUCCCCUCGCCCCUCCCUAAUGCAGACCUGCCCCGAGCACCGUGAGGGCCGAGGAGAAGUUAGGCCUGCAGCUGGGGAGACAUCUGUGAUCUGGCGGGGAGAGGUUCUUUCCACAGAGGCUGCUGUUUCUGCAUGACCUCAUCUGGGCUCGCCGAGCCUCUGCGCAGUGACUCACGGCGUGCACGGUCCUUGGGUGGCUGCGGUGGGCCGCAGGGCUUCGAGGUGGCUUUUUGCUCUUCCUAGGGGAUGGCUCUCCUUGAGUUGGGUGCCAUGAACUCUUUGACACUUUCCCAGUUCUGCCUGGUAAGGUCACCACAAUCCGCAGCACCUUGUCAUCCUAAGACCUUCUGAGCAACAAGCCAUACAUUAUUAGCCAGGCAGGGCCCGUGCUGGUGCAGGAUGAGGCCUGUAUGCACAGCUCUCCCAGAGGAGCCAUUGGCAGCUCUCAGGAAUUACAGACCGAGGAGCCACCAGCGUGGGGCAGCCUGCCUUGUCAAGUGCCUGGUACUAGGAAGCCCCGAUGGAGUCACGGAGUUCAUGGAGGAGGAAGGUGCUUGCGCAGAGCUGAGCAGUGAGAGGAAAGGCAGAAACCUGUCCCGCUGUAAAAUGGAGGUACCACGUCUCUCAGGGGACAAGCCUGCAAGGGGCUGCUCCAUCCUUUGGGCUGAAAAAUGAUGGGCUCCACCUGGCUUCGUGAUCCCUCGUGCAUUUGUGGCACCGGAGAACCCAGCUUUACGUGGCGCAUACUUUGGGGGAACUGGUUGAUGCUGGUCGGCUGGAACAAGCCGGGACAUUUGUGUGCACGAGGCCGCUCCGUGCACGCUUCGUCCAUGUCACAAAGGCGUUUUGUGGUUUCCUUCGGUUCCUGGAACAUCCAGUCCAGCUCGUACAGCAGCGCUGGCUCGCGCAGGCCCUACUGGCAGCCCCUUGGCUCCGGAGCACGCGGAUCACUGAAGGGUCUCGAGGGAUGCCGCUCCGCUUCUCUCUGCCCCUUGUUCCACUGUCAGGCUCAUCGGGGAGCUGUAGGUUGCCCCACUCAAUGCUCACACUGGGAUCUUUUGUUCGCCCCAUCCCAAUUCUGCCUCGGGGUCUCUCCUGUAACUCAUUAGCUGUUCUCACUCUGCUACCAGUGCCUCUCUCAGAGAAGCCUGCAGUAAAGUUCCACCUUCUCCCCGGCCAGCUCUCUUCCCUCCUCCAUGGCCAGCAGCAAGCCCUGCACUUUCCUCUCUCAUUUUCCCAUUUCUUCAGCUUAUUCUUUGUUUUUACAGUCUUGGCAGGUCAGCUCUGGAGCCUUUGCCCCUUGCCCUUCUCCGUCACACUCUGGCACAUCUGGGAACUCCUCCCACGCCCAUUCAGACAGCCUGCUCUCUGCCCUGUAGGAGCACAACUCAAAGCCCCUCUGGGCAUGCCCGUGUUGAGAGUCCCAGGAGUGCUGGAAGGCAGGGGGCGAGCAUCCCAGGAGCUGCGGCACUGGUGCUGCAUGAGAGAUGCACACUCGUCUUCAAGCCCCCUGGCAUUUAGGGGAUCCCUGUUUUACAGGUGGAGGUAGAAACCAAUUUACUAAAUUUUUUGGAUCCCAAGUCUACGUUUUAAACAGACACCUAAGCUGUCAAAAUCCAUGCAGCUCAUGUUUCCUGUGAUUACAGCUUCUACUGUCUGUUAUUGGAGCCUCACUCCUACUUCCCCUUCCUGCUGUGGCUUCCCUCUCCUCACCCGCUGACUUCCCCUGUCUUUAUUGUACCCACACGUUAGUGCCACAAAGUGAAUUUUGUGUGCUUCUCCAGGUCCACGAGGAGAGGAUGUCCUCCAUCCCCAGCAAAUAGCCCUUUAUCUCUUUCUCCUGAAUCAUUUGUGCUCCUCUGCAGGGCGUUCAUUCUCUCUUGAGCACUCAGCGGGUUACCUAAAUCAGUGUCACUUACGCCUAUCACUCCUGUUCCUCCUGCUCAGCCUCAUUCCUUCCCUAACGAAGGCUUCCCUUUAUGCUGCAGUUUUUUGCCUCCAGCUGUUACCCACCUUCAAGGUCCAGCUGCACUUUGUCUUCUUGUCCUCUGGCAGUCUGGGACUUGCCACACUGGGCAGUCCUACAGCGAGUCACAACAACGCAACACAUUUGACUUACCUCACGCCUCUCUGGGCCUUAGUCUUACCUUUCCAGCUCCGUUUUCUUCACAGCGGGCUCUCAGGACCAGCUCUGUGGGCCUCUGCUUGGCUUUGAGCAUUUACCACAUGCAGACACAACAGAAUAUGUGCUUUGUGUCCCUGUAGAUGCCUUGUAAGUGGGAGGAGCAGGGAAAAGGUCUUGAACGGUGGCACUGGCAAACUGAGUGCUCUGCUCAGCAGCAUGGGGGCCUGCCUCGUCUUCUGUCUCUCUGCCUGUGCCUCCGUGAGCGAUGUUCCUUCUCUUAGCUCCCAACCUGCAGGCAUCUCCUGGACCUCUGUUGUUUAUGACACUGCAAUUUGUUGCCUUGGAAAUAAGUGCUGUUUUAUCCCAAACAGAGCCUACAGAUUCGCAGCGCAAUCCCGCAGGAGGAGCAGAUGGUUUCCCCCAUCUCCUCUGUCUUAUUUCCCACUGUCCUCGUCCGCAGUCGGAUGACAGGAAUCUGUGAUUCAGCACAAGUGUCCGUGGCCCAGCUAUAGCUACCAGUGUAAACUGGGGAGCCGUGCUUCUGCUGGGAGGUGACAUGCCUUUGGGUCUAGCAUCAUCAUUUUGGCUUCUUCUAAGCGGAACUCAACUGAAACCCUAAAAUAAACAACUUUUCUUGCUGACUUCA